GCGCCCAUUGGCUCCGAGGAGGCCUGAGUUAGUCACGAGCCAGCUCUGAGCAGGGUGCGGAGGGUCACUGUCACAGUUCUCAGACCCUCCUAACUGCAGAGUGGAGCUCGCCGGCACAGAGCCCACUUGGAGAAGCAGCCAGGGGCCCGAGGAGGGUAAAGAGGGACGGUGAGGACCACUUCGCCUCUUAGACAUGGCCGGGCCCCAGGGCAGCCAGAACCCGCAGGGACUUGGGAACCUUCCCGGUGAGUGCCAGCUACAGGGACAUGCAGGCUCACUUUAAACAGUGACUUCUCCGAGCCAGGUGCUGCAGCCCAUGCCUGGAAUCUUGCUGACUUGGGAAGCUGAGGCAGGAGGACCGCAGAUUUGAGGUGAGCCUCUGCAACUUAGGAGACGCUCUCUCAAAAUAGAGUAAAAUAAAAAGGGCCGAGGUGGCCGUUCAGCAGUGAAGUACCCUGGGUUUAAUGCCUAACACCAAAAAUAAAUAAAUAAAAUAAACGGC